UGGCGGCGCGCCUAACACAUGCAAGUCGAACGGCACCUAUCUUCGGAUAGAAGCGAGUGGCGAACGGCUGAGUAACACGUGGAGAACCUGCCCCCUCCCCCGGGAUAGCCGCCCGAAAGGACGGGUAAUACCGGAUACCCCCGGGCGCCGCAUGGCGCCCGGGCUAAAGCCCCGACGGGAGGGGAUGGCUCCGCGGCCCAUCAGGUAGACGGCGGGGUGACGGCCCACCGUGCCGACAACGGGUAGCCGGGUUGAGAGACCGACCGGCCAGAUUGGGACUGAGACACGGCCCAGACUCCUACGGGAGGCAGCAGUGGGAAUCUUGCGCAAUGGGGGGAACCCUGACGCAGCGACGCCGCGUGCGGGACGGAGGCCUUCGGGUCGUAAACCGCUUUCAGCAGGGAAGAGUCAAGACUGUACCUGCAGAAGAAGCCCCGGCUAACUACGUGCCAGCAGCCGCGGUAAUACGUAGGGGGCGAGCGUUAUCCGGAUUCAUUGGGCGUAAAGCGCGCGUAGGCGGCCCGGCAGGCCGGGGGUCGAAGCGGGGGGCUCAACCCCCCGAAGCCCCCGGAACCUCCGCGGCUUGGGUCCGGUAGGGGAGGGUGGAACACCCGGUGUAGCGGUGGAAUGCGCAGAUAUCGGGUGGAACACCGGUGGCGAAGGCGGCCCUCUGGGCCGAGACCGACGCUGAGGCGCGAAAGCUGGGGGAGCGAACAGGAUUAGAUACCCUGGUAGUCCCAGCCGUAAACGAUGGACAAGAGGUGUGGGGGGGGGGCGAUCCCCCCCGUGCCGCAGCCAACGCAUUAAGCGUCCCGCCUGGGGAGUACGGCCGCAAGGCUAAAACUCAAAGGAAUUGACGGGGGCCCGCACAAGCAGCGGAGCAUGUGGCUUAAUUCGAAGCAACGCGAAGAACCUUACCAGGGCUUGACAUAUGGGUGAAGCGGGGGAGACCCCGUGGCCGAGAGGAGCCCAUACAGGUGGUGCAUGGCUGUCGUCAGCUCGUGUCGUGAGAUGUUGGGUUAAGUCCCGCAACGAGCGCAACCCCCGCCGCGUGUUGCCAUCGGGUGAUGCCGGGAACCCACGCGGGACCGCCGCCGUCAAGGCGGAGGAGGGCGGGGACGACGUCAAGUCAUCAUGCCCCUUAUGCCCUGGGCUGCACACGUGCUACAAUGGCCGGUACAGAGGGAUGCCACCCCGCGAGGGGGAGCGGAUCCCGGAAAGCCGGCCCCAGUUCGGAUUGGGGGCUGCAACCCGCCCCCAUGAAGUCGGAGUUGCUAGUAAUCGCGGAUCAGCAUGCCGCGGUGAAUGCGUUCCCGGGCCUUGCACACAGCGCCCGUC
rnacentral:rRNA from 1 species